GACAAUUGCAACAUCUUGGUGCAGGAGUUCAUGGACUUGACUGAGGCCACUGCACAGAUUGAGAAAACCACAAUGAACAUCUGUCUCCAGAGAUGCGCCAGGCAAUGACUUUUCUGAUGUUGGCAUCAUCAUCGAGGGUGAUUCAAUGGGUGGUAAUGGAGUUGGAUGCAACUCAGCUCUCAAGAAAAGCUCACAACUAAGACAAAACUGCUCCUGCAAGGAAAGCUCACUGUUAUGCAUGUGAGGUGAUCAGCUCUAGGUGAGAGGACAUUUAAAUCUCACACUUGUUCUGCUGCAUUUUUGAAGCUCAAUUCCAGGAGCAGAUCGCAGGGUUCAUUUUUAUAUACUCUGCAACUGCCAUGAGGACGAGCCGUUUUUGUUGUUGUUGUUUGUUUUUCCUUUUGCUCUGUACAAGUUCUCUGUUUGUCUGUUUGGCAGCAUUUUUAAAUUUCUCUUUGUAUUUUUUCUUUCUUUUACUAGUGAAGAGAUGUAGCAUGAACAGUUAUACAGUCUAAAUAUCCCAUAUGGGUCGUGUGAAAUGGUAUUUUCAGUUUCAUUCAGUUGAAGUAAAGAACGUUGAAUAUUUCUAAGUGUGCUGUUUUGAACCAAGAUGUCACAGUAUGAUCAGUGCUGUAAUUUUUGACAGUCACUGUAUCAAUGUUAUUUUUGCAUCUCUUGAAUAAAGUUUUUGACCUGCA
ensembl:lncRNA